GACGAACGCUGGCGGCGUGCUUAACACAUGCAAGUCGAGCGGUAAGGCCCUUUCGGGGGUACGACGAGCGGCGAACGGGUGAGUAACACGUGGGUGACCUGCCCUUAGCUCUGGGAUAAGCCUGGGAAACUGGGUCUAAUACCGGAUAUGACUCCAUGACGCAUGUUGUGGGGUGGAAAGCCUUGUGCGGCUAGGGAUGGGCCCGCGGCCUAUCAGCUUGUUGGUGGGGUGAUGGCCUACCAAGGCGACGACGGGUAGCCGGCCUGAGAGGGCGACCGGCCACACUGGGGACUGAGACACGGCCCAGACUCCUACGGGAGGCAGCAGUGGGGAAUCUUGCGCAAUGGGCGAAAGCCUGACGCAGCGACGCCGCGUGAGGGAUGACGGCCU
rnacentral:rRNA from 1 species